AGCAACCGCGGUAAUUCCAGCUCCAAUAGCGUAUAUUAAAGUUGUUGCAGUUAAAAAGCUCGUAGUUGAAUUUCGGGGUUAGUAGAUUGGUCGUGCCACUGGUAUGUACUGGUCUUACUGAUUCCUCCUUCCUGAUGAACCGUAAUGCCAUUAAUUUGGUGUUGCGGGGAGACUGGACUGUUACUUUGAAAAAUUAGAGUGUUUAAAGCAGGCUAACGCUUGAAUACAUUAGCAUGGAAUAAUGAAAUAGGACGUUCGAUCCUAUUUUGUUGGUUUCUAGGAUUGACGUAAUGAUUAAUAGGGAUAGUUGGGGGCAUUAGUAUUCAAUUGUCAGAGGUGAAAUUCUUGGAUUUAUUGAAGACUAACUACUGCGAAAGCAUUUGCCAAGGAUGUUUUCAUUAAUCAAGAACGAAAGUUAGGGAUCGAAGACGAUCAGAUACCGUCGUAGUCUUAACCAUAAACUAUGCCGACUAGGGAUCGGAUGAUGUUAUUUUAAUGACUCAUUCGG
rnacentral:rRNA from 1 species